rnacentral:misc_RNA from 1 species
AAUAGUGAAUCUCUCAUUAAUCUCCUGCAGUUCAAAAUUUAUCAUUAAUUAAUAUUAAUUCUAUCGAAUAGUAGCACAAACCCUAAGGAAAUGAAAGGGAGUUUAAUACAAUGAGUUCCAAUUACGCUGACAGCCUUUCACCUUAUGAAAACAAGGGAAUCCUAGGCAUCCCAGAGUGUUUUGACAGCGAUGAUACUGUCAGUAAAAAAUGCACUGAGCUAGCCAAUUUAAUCAAGGAUUCCAGACACGUUGUAUUUCAUACUGGCGCUGGGAUAAGUACAUCAGCCGGCAUUCCUGAUUUCAGAGGCCCGAAAGGCGUGUGGACAUUGGAAAAAAAAGGCGAAAUCCCAAAAUUGAACACUUCUUUUGAUAACGCAACGCCGACUAAGACACAUAUGGCCCUACGAGCAUUAGUAGAAGCCGGAUACGUGCAGUAUAUUGUCUCUCAAAAUAUAGACGGGUUGCACUUAAGAUCCGGACUUAAACGCAGAUACUUAUCAGAGUUGCACGGAAACAUAUUCAUUGAACAAUGCGCUACGUGUAGACGUCAGUUUGUUCGUUCGACAUCUGUCAAAUCAGUUGGUCAAAAAGCACUGGGAAUCCGCUGUCGAUCUACAGUCAGUAAAGUAGGUCGGGCAUGCCGAACUGGUUAUUUGCAUGAUAACGUGCUUGACUGGGAGCACGACUUACCGCAGAGAGAUCUCGAUAUGGCUGUCAUGCAUUCUACAAUGGCUGACUUGAAUAUAACUCUGGGAACAACUCUACAAAUUGUACCAAGUGGGAACUUACCCUUAAAAAAUAUUAAAGGCGGUGGUAAACUUGUUAUAUGUAAUUUACAACCAACAAAACAUGACUCUAAGGCACACUUAGUUAUCUCAAGUUAUGUUGAUGAAAUACUAUCGAGGGUUUGUAACAUUUUAGGUAUUGAAAUAUCAGAAUAUUCAGAGUCGUCUGAUCCCACAACACAGUCAAACUUGGUUGAAUGGACUUUGCCAUUGAAUCAUAUAAAUAUUAUUGAAAGACAGUUUAAAACACAUUUGAAAGAGACAGUUGUGUGCAAUCAAAAGAAAAAUCCGGAGUAGCUGUUACCUCCCCCGCUUUAUCCAAGAUACAAUUUUACAAUAAAUUUAGUUAUUUGCGACAAGCAGCAGAGAUAAUUAUAAGAACUUCACCUUCAAAAAGCGGGAAGGGUCUUAACGGGAACUGAGGUAUGUGA